AUUGAACGCUGGCGGCAUGCUUUACACAUGCAAGUCGAACGGUAACAGGCCGCAAGGUUCUGGCGAGUGGCGAACGGGUGUGUAAUGCAUCGGUACGUGCCCGGUCGUCGGGUGUAACUACCCGAAAGUAUCGCUAAUACUGCAUAGGAUCUAUGGAUAAACGCGGGGGACCGUAAUGCCUCGCGCUUUUCGAGCGGGCGAUGUCAGAUUAGGUAGUUGGUGGGGUAAAGGCUUACCAAGCGAACGAUCUGUAGCUGACCUGGGAGGAGGACCAGACACAAUGGGACUGAAAGACGACCCAGACUGGUACGGGAGGCAGCAGUAGGGAAUUUUGGACAACGGGCGCGAGGAUGAUCCAGCAAUGCCGCGAGGAGGAAGAAGGCAUUCGGGUUGGAAAGUGGAAUUGUACGGAACGAAACGGCGCUGGUUAAGACGCGGGACUAAUGACGGUACCGGAAGAAUAAGCACCGGCUAACUACGUG
rnacentral:rRNA from 1 species